UAAUUGACCAUUUUUUCCAGCCUUUGAGUUACUGAUACAAUCUUAUACCGAGAGACUUGCAGUCAUUAACGACAAAUUUAGCAACACCAGCUGAUCCAUGUAAAGGCCCGGGCUAACAAGUAGCCUAUAUAAGUAGCAUUCAACUGUAAUAAGUUAAACGUGGUAAAUACUGCUGAUAGUUGUGCGAUUAUGAAGAUCUCUGGCAAUAAACGCGCAGGGGCCAGUAAACUGAGGCGCACAGAGAAGAGGCGAGCUAAGGCGUAUUCCGCAGCCACGUACAGCUUUCAGAAAGAGACUCGCCUUGGCGUGAGCGAGCGCGUGCCCGUGCCUAGGCACGCUAACGGCAGCAUCUUGUACAUGGUCGGACUGCAAGCAGCCCGGCUCUCCAAGCACAGCAAGCGCCGGACUAUCACAAGGAGGGAGGUGCGCUCCGCCGUGCAACUCCUGCGCCCGAAGACGCACGCAGCGCACCAAGGCGCCUGAUUGCGCCGGCAACUUACUGUCAACAUAUUUUAAGCAGAUUUAUUUUUUUUUUCCUUUUUAAUCGCAACAGUGAAUAAAUUUUAAAUAAAGGUUUAUUUAAUUCAGAAUGGAGUCAAACGUCUCCAUGUUACACAUGGCUGUAUAUUGAAUUUUUGUGGUCUUACUAUCACCAGUAAAACACUUAAUGAUUGUA